rnacentral:tRNA from 2 species
ACUUCUCUGGCAGAAAAUAUGCAAUAAACUUAGAAUUUACAGAUACAACAAAUGUGAGAA